rnacentral:misc_RNA from 1 species
GAUGAAGAACGUAGCGAAAUGCGAUAAGUAAUGCGAAUUGCAGAAUUCCAGUGAGUCAUCGAAUCUUUGAACGCACAUUGCGCCCUUUGGAAUUCCGAAGGGCAUGCCUGUUCGAGCGUCAUUAUCACCCCUCAAGCCCUCGGCUUGGUGUUGGACGGUUUGGUGGAGGCCCCCUCGGGGGCUCCUGCCCCUCCCAAAGACAAUGACGGCGGCCUCGUUGGACCCCCGGUACACUGAGUUCUUCACGGGACACGUAUCGGACACAUGGGUUUACGGGACACGGUCUGCCUCCCCUCAGGGAGAAUCUUUCUAAGGUUGACCUCGGAUCAGGUAGGGAUACCCGCUGAACUUAAGCAUAUCAAUAAGCGGAGGA